AUUGAACGCUGGCGGAAUGCUUUACACAUGCAAGUCGAACGGCAGCACGGACUUCGGUCUGGUGGCGAGUGGCGAACGGGUGAGUAAUGUAUCGGAACGUGCCCAGUCGUGGGGGAUAACGUAGUGAAAAUUACGCUAAUACCGCAUACGAUCUAUGGAUGAAAGCGGGGGAUGGCAAGACCUCGCGCGAUUGGAGCGGCCGAUAUCAGAUUAGGUAGUUGGUGGGGUAAAGGCCCACCAAGCCAACGAUCUGUAGCUGGUCUGAGGGGACGACCAGCCACACUGGAACUGAGACACGGUCCAGACUCCUACGGGAGGCAGCAGUGGGGAAUUUUGGACAAUGGGCGAAAGCCUGAUCCAGCCAUUCCGCGUGCAGGAUGAAGGCCCUCGGGUUGUAAACUGCUUUUGUACAGAACGAAAAGGUUUCUACUAAUACUAGGAGCUCAUGACGGUACUGUAAGAAUAAGCACCGGCUAACUACGUGCCAGCAGCCGCGGUAA
rnacentral:rRNA from 1 species